GACGUAGGGCGCGAGCGUUGUCCGGAUUUAUUGGGCGUAAAGAGCUCGUAGGCGGCUUGUCGCGUCGAGUGUGAAAUCCUGCGGCUCAAUUGCAGGCUUGCAUUCGAUACGGGCAGGCUGGAGUUCGGUAGAGGAGACUGGAAUUCCCGGUGUAGCGGUGAAAUGUGUAGAGAUCGGGAGGAACACCGGUGGCGAAGGCGGGUCUCUGGGCAAUUCCUGACGCUGAGGCGCGAAAGCGUGGGGAGCAAACGGG
rnacentral:rRNA from 1 species